AAGUCGUAACAAGGUUUCCGUAGGUGAACCUGCGGAAGGAUCAUUAAUACGUUUGAAAAAAACGUUUUAAACUCCAAAAUUUUAAUAGUGGAAAUAUAACUUCCGGAUGCAUUUGUAGGGAGGGGAAGAUAAGACCUUAAAAAAGUCUGGUUUUCUCCUUUUUGAAAAGGAAACUUCAUGCACUUCUUGUGAGUGUGUGACACUUCAGAGUAGAGCAGUGAGGUGAAAACUCCGGUUUUGGUUUCUGAAAUACAUCUGUAUCCGGUUAUUCUCUGUUCUACAACCCUUUUAUUAAACAAUAAACCCCAUGUAUAACAACUUGAACUAAACAAAUUUUGUUUUCUCUCUGUGAGGAAAUGAAGUAAAUCUGAACUUAAGAACAACUCUUAACAACGGAUAUCUUGGUUCUC
rnacentral:misc_RNA from 1 species